rnacentral:lncRNA from 1 species
UAGCUAAGGGAGUUACUGGAUGCAACUCGUUCUCUGCUGUGACUGAAUUCCCGCGCGUUGUCACUUUGGGGAAGUAAGAUUGUAACUGAAGAAUUGCAACGCAGCGCUUCUGUCUGGGAAAGGCAGCUGCGGCAGCAACAGCUGGAGUAGUGCAAGCGGGAAUCUGAGGCUCAGUAAAAGUUUGUAAGAGUUGAGAUCUAGCUAUCAGAAAGCGGCAGCGGCAUCCUUAGAGACCCUGGGGACAAAAUAAAUGGGUCUCCCACCAGUUGAAUGACAAGUAUCAUCAGAUCGGAAACGAGGCUCAGUUUCUGGAUGCUGAGUGGACUGUGCGUGCGGGAAUAUUUUAAGACGGCAUCGUAUGUCUUGCUUGGCAAUUAAAAUAGUUGAAAAAGUU